rnacentral:rRNA from 1 species
CCUACGGGAGGCAGCAGUGAGGAAUAUUGGUCAAUGGACGAGAGUCUGAACCAGCCAAGUAGCGUGAAGGAUGACUGCCCUAUGGGUUGUAAACUUCUUUUAUAUGGGAAUAAAACGUUCCACGUGUGGGAUUUUGUAUGUACCAUAUGAAUAAGGAUCGGCUAACUCCGUGCCAGCAGCCGCGGUAAUACGGAGGAUCCGAGCGUUAUCCGGAUUUAUUGGGUUUAAAGGGAGCGUAGGUGGAUUGUUAAGUCAGUUGUGAAAGUUUGCGGCUCAACCGUAAAAUUGCAGUUGAAACUGGCAGUCUUGAGUACAGUAGAGGUGGGCGGAAUUCGUGGUGUAGCGGUGAAAUGCUUAGAUAUCACGAAGAACUCCGAUUGCGAAGGCAGUUCACUGGACUGCAACCGACACUGAGGCUCGAAAGUGUGGGUAUCAAACAGGAUUAGAUACCCCUGUAGUC